GAAGACAAGCAAAGGGAAUAGUGAGAAGCAGACUCCCCGCUAAGCAGGGAGCCUCUUGUGGGACUUAGUCCCAAGACUUGGGGAUCAUGACCUGAGCGGAAGGUAGACAUUUAACCAACUGAGCCACACAGG